rnacentral:rRNA from 1 species
UUAAGCGACUAAGCGUACACGGUGGAUGCCCUGGCAGUCAGAGGCGAUGAAGGACGUGCUAAUCUGCGAUAAGCGUCGGUAAGGUGAUAUGAACCGUUAUAACCGGCGAUUUCCGAAUGGGGAAACCCAGUGUGAUUCGUCACACUAUCAUUAACUGAAUCCAUAGGUUAAUGAGGCGAACCGGGGGAACUGAAACAUCUAAGUACCCCGAGGAAAAGAAAUCAACCGAGAUUCCCCCAGUAGCGGCGAGCGAACGGGGAGCAGCCCAGAGCCUGAAUCAGUGUGUGUGUUAGUGGAAGCGUCUGGAAAGGCGCGCGAUACAGGGUGACAGCCCCGUACACAAAAAUGCACAUACUGUGAGCUCGAUGAGUAGGGCGGGACACGUGGUAUCCUGUCUGAAUAUGGGGGGGCCAUCCUCCAAGGCUAAAUACUCCUGACUGACCGAUAGUGAACCAGUACCGUGAGGGAAAGGCGAAAAGAACCCCGGCGAGGGGAGUGAAAAAGAACCUGAAACCGUGUACGUACAAGCAGUGGGAGCACAGAGCAAUCUGUGUGACUGCGUACCUUUUGUAUAAUGGGUCAGCGACUUAUAUUCUGUAGCAAGGUUAACCGAAUAGGGGAGCCGAAGGGAAACCGAGUCUUAACUGGGCGUUAAGUUGCAGGGUAUAGACCCGAAACCCGGUGAUCUAGCCAUGGGCAGGUUGAAGGUUGGGUAACACUAACUGGAGGACCGAACCGACUAAUGUUGAAAAAUUAGCGGAUGACUUGUGGCUGGGGGUGAAAGGCCAAUCAAACCGGGAGAUAGCUGGUUCUCCCCGAAAGCUAUUUAGGUAGCGCCUCGUGAAUUCAUCUCCGGGGGUAGAGCACUGUUUCGGCAAGGGGGUCAUCCCGACUUACCAACCCGAUGCAAACUGCGAAUACCGGAGAAUGUUAUCACGGGAGACACACGGCGGGUGCUAACGUCCGUCGUGAAGAGGGAAACAACCCAGACCGCCAGCUAAGGUCCCAAAGUCAUGGUUAAGUGGGAAACGAUGUGGGAAGGCCCAGACAGCCAGGAUGUUGGCUUAGAAGCAGCCAUCAUUUAAAGAAAGCGUAAUAGCUCACUGGUCGAGUCGGCCUGCGCGGAAGAUGUAACGGGGCUAAACCAUGCACCGAAGCUGCGGCAGCGACGCUUAUGCGUUGUUGGGUAGGGGAGCGUUCUGUAAGCCUGCGAAGGUGUGCUGUGAGGCAUGCUGGAGGUAUCAGAAGUGCGAAUGCUGACAUAAGUAACGAUAAAGCGGGUGAAAAGCCCGCUCGCCGGAAGACCAAGGGUUCCUGUCCAACGUUAAUCGGGGCAGGGUGAGUCGACCCCUAAGGCGAGGCCGAAAGGCGUAGUCGAUGGGAAACAGGUUAAUAUUCCUGUACUUGGUGUUACUGCGAAGGGGGGACGGAGAAGGCUAUGUUGGCCGGGCGACGGUUGUCCCGGUUUAAGCGUGUAGGCUGGUUUUCCAGGCAAAUCCGGAAAAUCAAGGCUGAGGCGUGAUGACGAGGCACUACGGUGCUGAAGCAACAAAUGCCCUGCUUCCAGGAAAAGCCUCUAAGCAUCAGGUAACAUCAAAUCGUACCCCAAACCGACACAGGUGGUCAGGUAGAGAAUACCAAGGCGCUUGAGAGAACUCGGGUGAAGGAACUAGGCAAAAUGGUGCCGUAACUUCGGGAGAAGGCACGCUGAUACGUAGGUGAAGUCCCUCGCGGAUGGAGCUGAAAUCAGUCGAAGAUACCAGCUGGCUGCAACUGUUUAUUAAAAACACAGCACUGUGCAAACACGAAAGUGGACGUAUACGGUGUGACGCCUGCCCGGUGCCGGAAGGUUAAUUGAUGGGGUCAGCGCAAGCGAAGCUCUUGAUCGAAGCCCCGGUAAACGGCGGCCGUAACUAUAACGGUCCUAAGGUAGCGAAAUUCCUUGUCGGGUAAGUUCCGACCUGCACGAAUGGCGUAAUGAUGGCCAGGCUGUCUCCACCCGAGACUCAGUGAAAUUGAACUCGCUGUGAAGAUGCAGUGUACCCGCGGCAAGACGGAAAGACCCCGUGAACCUUUACUAUAGCUUGACACUGAACAUUGAGCCUUGAUGUGUAGGAUAGGUGGGAGGCUUUGAAGUGUGGACGCCAGUCUGCAUGGAGCCGACCUUGAAAUACCACCCUUUAAUGUUUGAUGUUCUAACGUGGACCCGUGAUCCGGGUUGCGGACAGUGUCUGGUGGGUAGUUUGACUGGGGCGGUCUCCUCCUAAAGAGUAACGGAGGAGCACGAAGGUUGGCUAAUCCUGGUCGGACAUCAGGAGGUUAGUGCAAUGGCAUAAGCCAGCUUGACUGCGAGCGUGACGGCGCGAGCAGGUGCGAAAGCAGGUCAUAGUGAUCCGGUGGUUCUGAAUGGAAGGGCCAUCGCUCAACGGAUAAAAGGUACUCCGGGGAUAACAGGCUGAUACCGCCCAAGAGUUCAUAUCGACGGCGGUGUUUGGCACCUCGAUGUCGGCUCAUCACAUCCUGGGGCUGAAGUAGGUCCCAAGGGUAUGGCUGUUCGCCAUUUAAAGUGGUACGCGAGCUGGGUUUAGAACGUCGUGAGACAGUUCGGUCCCUAUCUGCCGUGGGCGCUGGAGAACUGAGGGGGGCUGCUCCUAGUACGAGAGGACCGGAGUGGACGCAUCACUGGUGUUCGGGUUGUCAUGCCAAUGGCACUGCCCGGUAGCUAAAUGCGGAAGGGAUAAGUGCUGAAAGCAUCUAAGCACGAAACUUGCCCCGAGAUGAGUUCUCCCUGACUCCUUGAGAGUCCUGAAGGAACGUUGAAGACGACGACGUUGAUAGGCCGGGUGUGUAAGCGCAGCGAUGCGUUGAGCUAACCGGUACUAAUGAACCGUGAGGCUUAACCUU